UAGCUACUCCCUUCAUAUACAAAACAGUAGGUAAUUUAUGUUUAAAUCACUUAACGUGAGUGCAUAUUCAUAUAUAAAAAAUUGGUAAUUUAUUUCGUAGUGUAGUGGGUCUAGUUCAGAGCCUUUGGUUAAUUAAUACUCUUAAACUGAACAGUAUACUAAAAGUAAAAUAUCCCAACUUUUUAUGAAAUAAUUUAUAAUGGUUCGCGAUAAACGUGGAGUAGGAGGUUGUGAAGUUUCAAAUAUUUGAAGUGCAGAGUUAACCAAUUUAAUUAUUUAGUUGUGUGUAAGUAAAAUUAAUGUUAUUUCUUAAUAGGAACUCUUGUAUUAGAUGUGCUAUAAAUGUACUUAAUGUGGGGUUGGGGGGGAGCUAACUUUCUUACGUUGUAAAGUAGGAUCACCAAAGACCUGGAAGUCCUAAAGAAAUUACUAAAGGUGUUUACCCACCAAAUAACUUCUUCACAAAGUACUGAAGAUUUUGAACAACCAAGAUGGAAGUCUGGUACUGAUCUUCGUAGCUAAGCUUUUUCGCGUGAAGGUCUUAAUACAAGACUACAUGAAGUUGUAUUCCAGCUUGAGUGAUCCCUUACACCUUGUUCUGUGAGCAUUAAUUUCCACUGGUUCUGCCAAGUUAGUCUUCUCGUUUUAUUGUAAGAAGCUCAAUAGUGACUGGAAGAACAUAUUCGUUGCGAACCAUUUAUUGUAAUCUAGUGGUGCUAUUUGGAGCUGCUGCUUGUGCUUGAAUACGAACACCUGGCGCGUAUUUUCUGACGUCUUUCUAUGGAUUAGGAAACUACUGAACGUUUAAAUUACACACCACGAACUUUCGUGAUUGUAUGCACAU